GUCAUACACUUCAUAGAUGCUAUUUGUGGUGGAGGUAAACUUUAUAAGAAACGUUAGCCAGUUUAAUGAUGUCUAGCGAAAUAUUCAAACUUAGCGUAAUGUAAAUGCAUGACAAAAUGACAAAAGGCAUAGUGGUUCAAGACACAGCCUCUUACUUGGGAGACCCGAGUCCGAAUCCAGGGAGGCCAACUACAUUCAUCACUUCUAAUUGUGGGCCGGCUGAACUAGGCUUGCUUUUUUUUUUUUUUUUGUAAUCCGAUUACAAUGGGUCUAUUUUACCUAACAGAUUAUUAAAGCCUACUAUUUUUUGUACGGAUUACUUGUACAGAUUAUUUGUACAAGUUACUCCUCAACUCUGGGCAAAGAUAAUUACAGUGUCUGAAUUAAGCGCUUAUUUUUAGUAUUAGUUUGCAUAUUAGGACAGUUGAUUCUUUUCUCAUCACUUUUCUCUUGCCAUGAUACAUGUUCAGUUUUUUGUCAUCUACCCACAACACUGUUUUCCAGCACCCUUUUAGAUACUUUUGUAUCAAACUAUAACCUGGCUGUCCUGUUUCUGAGGCUGACUAGUGGUUUGCAUAUUGCAGUAUUGCCACUGUAGUUGUGCUGAUAACAGUGAUAGUCACAGUAACACCUCCAUGCCUUACUGGCCGGAAAAGUGUUCCUGAUCUAUCAGACAGUAUAUUUCUGGUCUUCCUUGGCUUACUAAAUCACACGAGAUAGCUGAGCUCUCUGGGGCAUUCCAUAUUUUAAAAGAUGUUCCAAACUGUUGUUUUUGGUAAGCCUGAUGUUUUAGGUAUAUGUUUAUGUCCACCACUAUGGGGAUUCCCCUGAUGAUACUGUUAGUCUGUGGCGAAGAGUGUGGGAUGCUGGGAGCAAUUGGGAUCUUCAUACUGUACAGGUUAAUUAGUCAGCUAGUCUGUUUAGAAUGAAGACUGUGUGUCGUCAGCUGUUAGGUGAUCAAGUUCAUAUUAAGUCUCACAAAACAGCUGCAACUAAGUACAAUGAAAAUUGGGGAUUUUAAUGAGAGUCAGCUGAGACCACUUUCUUAGGAGAGGCCCAUAUUGUAGAAAAGGAAUGCAUUGAAAACAUCUAAUUGUUUAGUCUCAGCAAAUGUGCUGAUCUUUUCAUUCAAUAAUACAGGGUUUCAAUGAAACUUCCUCAACAACCUGUGUGACCCCAGUGUUUUGCUAAUAUUAACUCAAGGGCUCUCUGUUUCCACUGGGAGUAUGACACUAUGGACUCCACUUGGAGUCAGGAGAGAGAAGGACAUUUUCAACAACCUGCUUUCAGGCUUCUUCACCAGGUGACGGGACAUCACUGGUGACCCUCAGAGACAAUAAAGUUCCUCCUUCUGAGACCCAGGUAUCAAACUAAUUUCUGCAUGCCUGGCUGACCUCUCUGCUUGGAUGAUGAACCACUGCAUCAAGCUCAAUCCCGCCAAGAGGGAACUGUUCUACCAGGAGGGUAGUUCUGUCUGUUCCAAGACUUCUCAGUCAGGGUCGACAACUUUACGGCAUUCCCCUCCGAAUGUGAAGAACCUUGCAGUAACCCAUGACAACACCCUGCUGUUCUGCGGAAACAUAAGGGAAUGAUUCCGCAGGUUCAAACUCCUGCAACUCAUUCUGAGAAAUAUGGAAUGGACAACAAACAUCUUAGUGAUCAAAGUAACUUUUUUGUGCAUAAGAUGUCUGUACACCAAUCAGCCCAAGCCGCAUCAUACCGGUAUGAGCCUGUUUGUGUGUCUGUGUGUGUGUGUGAAACCGUCAGUUGUCAGCUUUUGGUGGUGUAAAGAAUUGACAUGAAUAAUAAUACUGAUGGAAUGCCCUAGGCUGUCUGAAUAAUGUUUUUCUUCACAGUGUAUUUGUUAAUGAUUGUCGUUAAGCCUAGUCAUUAUAAAUAGUCAUGUAUAGGUUAAUGAAAACGUUAUGUAUGCUACAUGCUUUAUACACUGACGCAACAAGUUAAAUCAUGUUUUCCUCCCUACUGAACCCGCCCCUUCACAUGUUUUUCCGUGUUCUUCUGCAUUGGAGGUUGGUAAUGCUAUUCAGAAUACCACAGCCUGCAUGGUGUUAAAACUUCACAAGCUCUCCUAUGUCAACCCAUCCUGCAAACAUUAUACUGACUUCCAGUUGAAGCUCACAUCCAUCAGUUCAGAGAAAUAAGUAGUAGCAAUUCCAUGUAAUGCUUAAGUAAAACCUUAAAAUCAUCCCUCUUUAUGAGGGAGUCAGUGUAGACUUUGAGAUCUGAUCAGUUCAGACCUUACAGGAAACAUGAAGACAGUGUUAGUGCAAGUUAUACUUUCUACUAUAGUUUCCCACCAAUCUUAGCAUCUUAGCCUCAAGCCUCACAGCAGAAUAUUUGUUGCCGUGAAUGUGCUUUUUGUAAUUCUGAAAAUAAAAUACACAUGUAAUUCAAGUUUAAUCUAUACAAAUAUUAGAUUACCUAAUUGCAACUUUGCUAAAUGUAUUCACACUUCAUUUUAUAGGCUUGUAGAAUAUCAUUUAAGCACAGGCCUAAAGAAAACACCCUUGUAAAAAUAAGCUUGCACAGAUCUGAAUGUACAUAGACUUGCAAAAUAUGAUUAAAGAUUUGAAGAUCAAGCUUGUAUCCUUGGCCUUUAACAUACAGUUAUGGCCCUCAAUAUCCAACCAUGAAAGUUGACAUACAAGUUAUUUAAAAAAAGGAAAUGGGCUGGCCAUUCACAGUUCUCGUGAAAUGCUUUGGAAGAGUUAUGAAACAAGGUCUGAUAAUGCUUCUGAAAAUAUGGUUAAAGGAUUGAUGUGGUAAUUCUGAGCAUUGCUGUUUACAGAAACUCCAUCUGCAUGGCCCAUUGGAAUUUUAUUCUUUUGACUUUUCCUCACAAACCCAAUUGAUCACAUUAAAUCUUAUAUAUGCCAUACCAUACAAACAAUUGGGCAUCCUGAUUCAAGAAUGUUUGGCGAGACAGAUUUUCUCCCCCUGCUUUAUUCCAAAAUAGUAGUUAUGCAGUGAGUGGGAGGUUCACAGGUCCAUGUCCUCCUUGACUGAAGGAGCUGCAAACAGUGACUCACAGCCAAAUCAGAGUUUCAGGUACUUUCUGAAUUUUGCCCUUUAUUCUCUUUUUACUGGAAACAAACAUUUGGGAAAAAGAACAAUGUAUGAAUGCAAACGCAAAGUACACAUUUCUCCAAAUAUCUACAUGUAGCAAGCUGUCUAACUUGUUAUUACAUUUAUUAUCUUUGUCUGUUAACCAAGGAAAAAUCGUAAGUGUACAACUAUAUAUUAGCUACAGUGUUGUUUUGCGAAACUUGUAGUUAGCUUGUGCCACAGCAGAUUUUUCCCUAUCGUGAUGGCAGUUCAUAUGUAUGAAAACAGUGUUUUUGUGGAUAGAAAAGUAUUUUCAAGUGAACACAGUUUUUGUUUAAAUGGACAUUUCACCUUUGGGGACAUGUUUGAGAGAUUUCUAGGUGAGAUUUGUUUCACCCAUAAUUGGCAGUAUGAGUGCGAGAAUGGGACACAUUCUUGUACAUCAGAGUGUAUAUUGAAUGAAUAGAAGUCAUACUCCCCAUAACAUCUGGAAAACCGUCUCUUUGCGUUCAUACACCAUUCAUUCUGUACAUUGUAUAUAAGCUUAAGUGUUUUGAUCAGUCUUUUAACAGCUUAAAAGCAAAUUCAAUUAUUUUGCUGUCAUUCUGGCUUCUGAACGUAGAACAGAUGGUGGUGUCCUUCAUAGAACUAAAUCAUAUGUAGUGGAAAGUUUGAGAAAGCAUGAGUUCACUUGUUCUUGUUUUUCUCAGCUGUAGAACUGGGAUAACCACAAAGGUACCCUACUCAGCAAGUAUAACAUGUCAAUGUUCACAGCAGUGUUGACAAAGUAAUUGCCACUCCAAUGCCAGUUACAUUUUUUCCAAAAGACCUGAAAAAGUAGCCUAACUCUAAACUGUUGUUUAAUGGGUAUGUGCAGCAAAAUUUGCCCAUUUACUGUAUUUAUUCAACAUUUAAACUAUGAUUAUUGUAAUUUCUAUAACCGAAGUCAUCACCAUUUCUUUAGGUCCUUAUCUGAAAAUCCAGUCAUGUGAUCUGAGUCUGAAUCGCUUGGUUCUGAUUUUGUUUGUAAGACCUGAUGUCACAAUUGUGUCUCAUUUUAAUAAAUCCAAUGAUUUGCUUUUUAUACUUUUA